GGAACUUUCCACAGGAAAGAAAGUCAACUGAUGCAACCGCCAUUAGAGGACUUCCGUGCAACGGGAAGUAAGAAGGAUCGGUUGUUCCCUCCCACCUGGAAGCCCGGCUCGCACUGACAGGAGAAGGACCCGGGGACGUUGACGCAGCGAUGCUGGCAGUACCUGAACCUGCACUCGUCUAUGUCUGGAGGAUCUGAGCCAAGAAGUAAACUACACAGUGAAAAGCCAAGUGGAGCAGAGGGAGCGGAGCAGACAGCAGGCUAGUCGGGCAGCUGUGACGUUUUAUGGCCUGUACCACACAGCUGGGAUAGAGGAUGACGACCAUCAACCUUUUCAGUGAGGAAGGAAAUGGAGGAAAACUCACGGGUGAAUCUUCCCCAGUGGGUCCCGUUUCGCCUCCCGCUGACCGGUGUGCGCGUCCGCUGGC